GCGUGGGUAGCAAACAGGAUUAGAGACCCUGGUAGUCCACGCCGUAAAUUCUGAGUGCUGUAAUUUAAUUGUAAUAUUUUUUUAUUACUUAGAUUUUCAAGCUAACGCAAUAAGCACUCCGCCUGAGGAGUACGAUCGCAAGAUUGGAACUCAAAGGAAUUGACGGGGGUCUAACACUAGUGGUGGAGCAUGUGGUUUAAUGCGAUAAUCCGCGCAAAACCUUACCAAUUCUUGACAUAUUU
rnacentral:rRNA from 1 species